GCAUCCUUCUACACUGUAUGCAAACAUGCAACAUCAUUACACACAGUACAAGGAGUCAGACUGGCAUAUGAGGAGCAAAGGAACCCAGGCAGUAGCAUCGUUUCACAAUGUUUCCAUCAUCAUCAUCAGUGGAUGCCUUUGCCGUCCGUAGCCUGAGAUUUCAGAUUUGCAGCAAAAAAAAUUGAUUUUCUCAUUUAUUGGAAUGCUGUGCAGGUAUUUGUACCUUGCAGCCAUCCAUUACAAUGUCACCAAGCCGUAACAAAAGCAGGAGAGGGAAAGUACAAGGCUAUGUUCCCAAAACACAAAUGACAUACCUUAUGUGGAGGAUGUGAUCAGGCUUGUGUUUGAUGAGGUAUUUGAAGAUAAGCUGAAGGAAACCCCGAUUCCAAUGGACCUGGCAUCACAGUUUGAGAGACCUUCAAAGGAGGACGUGAUUGCAUGCCAUCUUCAGUGCAGGGGUCGUCGAAAGCCAAAAUUGUGACCGAUCUGAUCAGGAAGCUCCAAGCGUAUCUGGAGAACAACACACGACAGGAUGAUAACCUUAUAGUGUCGUCUUAGAUAGCACCAGCUGACAAAGCUUUGAUAUGCCAUUUAUCUGAAUAGAUAGCUGUAAGAAAUGAAUUGAACAAUUUUUGAAACAAGAGCACAAUAUGGUUACUAAAGUAUGUUUAUUUGUAUAUUGUUUAACAUUUAAAUAUAUAUUUGUAAUAAAUAAAAAAAACUUUUGACUGACUAUUAUAUUUUCUUUAAAGUUGCAUCUUUUGUUCUUUUGGGUACUUUGUUACUAUAAUGAUACUUUAGUGUUAUUGGUUUAAAAAUGUAAUAAAACUUACUCUAGUCCUGCACCUCAAAGGCUUAUAGUCGGUACAAUAAAUGUUCUGUGUGUAGGGAUUUAGACAAUUUGUGCAAAACCUGGAUGAUGAAUCACGCAGGUAAGA